GACGGGCAGAGGAAGUGCCAGUGCCACUGGGACCAUGGCUCUGACGGUAACGCGUGCAACGACUAACAGGGCUGACCGGCACCCACGACCGACAAGUGAAGCUCACCUUUCGAGGCUUUACCCAGAAAACAAGAAAAAUUCACUGUGGUCCAGAAGCAGAUAUCGGUGAGCUGUUCCGAUGGCCCCACUAUGGGGCUCCACUGGCUGGGGAGUGUCUGUCUGUGCAGGUGGUCAACUGCAGCCGUGUAUUCAGCCUUAGGCCUCUAGGGACCCUGGUGAUCUCCCUGCAGCAGCUACAGAAUGCUGGGCAUUUGGUGCUACGGGAAGCCCUAGUGGAUGAGAAUCUUCAAGUGUCCCCGAUCCAGGUGGAGCUUGACCUGAAGUACCAGCCCCCAGAGGGCGCUACUGGAGCCUGGUCAGAGGAGGACUUUGGGGCACCCAUCCAGGACAGCUUCGAGUUAAUCAUCCCCAAUGUGGGCUUCCAGGAACUGGAGCCUGGGGAGGCCCAGCUGGAGCGGCGGGCAGUGGCUCUAGGCCGCAGGCUAGCUCGAAGUCUAGGCCAGCAGGACGAUGAAGAGAAUGAGCUGGAGCUUGAGCUGGAGCAGGACCUGGAUGAUGAGCCUGACGUGGAACUUUCUGGUGUUAUGUUCAGCCCCCUCAAGAGCCGCGCCAGGGCCCUGGCCCAUGGGGAUCCCUUCCAGGUGUCCAGAGCUCAAGACUUCCAGGUGGGAGUCACUGUGCUGGAAGCCCAGAAACUGGUGGGAGUCAACAUUAACCCCUAUGUGGCCGUGCAAGUGGGGGGGCAGCGCCGUGUGACCGCCACACAGCGUGGGACCAGUUGCCCCUUCUACAAUGAGUACUUCUUGUUCGAAUUUCAUGACACGCGGCUUCGUCUCCAAGACUUGCUGCUGGAGAUCACGGCACCUUCAGGAUGGACCUGGGCAUCAUCUUGGACCAGCCAGAUGGCCAGUUCUACCAAAGAUGGGUUCCGCUGCAUGAUCCCCGAGACACCCGCGCCGGGACCAAGGGUUUCAUUAAGGUCACCUUGUCCGUGAGGGCGCGCGGGGACCUGCCCCCUCCAAUGCUACCCCCGGCCCCAGGGCACUGUUCGGACAUCGAGAAGAACCUGCUCCUGCCGCGCGGGGUGCCCGCCGAGAGGCCAUGGGCGCGGCUCCGCGUGCGCCUGUACCGCGCCGAGGGGCUUCCCGCGCUGCGCCUGGGGCUGCUGGGCAGCCUGGUCCGCGCCCUGCACGACCAGCGCGUCCUGGUGGAGCCCUAUGUGCGGGUGUCUUUCCUGGGGCAGGAGGGCGAGACGUCGGUGAGCGCCGAGGCGGCGGCGCCCGAAUGGAACGAGCAGCUGAGCUUCGUGGAGCUCUUCCCGCCGCUGACGCGCAGCCUCCGCCUGCAGCUGCGGGACGACGCGCCCCUGGUCGACGCGGCACUCGCUACGCACGUGCCGGACCUGAGGCGGAUCUCCCAUCCGGGCCGCGCGGCGGGGUUUAACCCUACCUUCGGCCCGGCCUGGGUGCCCCUCUAUGGCUCGCCCCCCGGCGCGGGGCUCCGGGAUAGUCUUCAAGGUCUCAACGAAGGCGUUGGCCAAGGCAUUUGGUUCCGCGGCCGCCUU
ensembl:lncRNA novel transcript